CAAGUCGAACGCUCGUCUUCGGACGGGAGUGGCAGACGGGUGAGUAACACGUGGGAACGUACCCUUUGGUUCGGAAUAACGCAGGGAAACUUGCGCUAAUACCGGAUACGCCCUUUUGGGGAAAGGUUUACUGCCGAAGGAUCGGCCCGCGUCUGAUUAGCUAGUUGGUGGGGUAACGGCCUACCAAGGCGACGAUCAGUAGCUGGUCUGAGAGGAUGAUCAGCCACACUGGGACUGAGACACGGCCCAGACUCCUACGGGAGGCAGCAUG
rnacentral:rRNA from 1 species